rnacentral:rRNA from 1 species
GAUGAACGCUGGCGGCGUGCUUAACACAUGCAAGUCGAACGGAAAGGCUCCUGCUUGCAGGGGUACUCGAGUGGCGAACGGGUGAGUAACACGUGGGUGAUCUGCCCUGCACUUCGGGAUAAGCCUGGGAAACUGGGUCUAAUACCGGAUAGGACGAUGGUUUGGAUGCCAUUGUGGAAAGUUUUUCGGUGUGGGAUGAGCUCGCGGCCUAUCAGCUUGUUGGUGGGGUAAUGGCCUACCAAGGCGUCGACGGGUAGCCGGCCUGAGAGGGUGUACGGCCACAGUGGGACUGAGAGACGGCCCAGACUCCUACGGGAGGCAGCAGUGGGGAAUAUUGCACAAUGGGCGCAAGCCUGAUGCAGCGACGCCGCGGGGGGGAUGACGGCCUUCGGGUUGUAAACUCCUUUCGCUAGGGACGAAGCGUUUUGUGACGGUACCUGGAGAAGAAGCACCGGCUAACUACGUG